AUGCAAUAUUUCAAUCUCGCCCUAAACAACCUCUCCGGUAUGAUCCCACCUUCUCUCUACAACUGGUCGUCCUUGGAAGUAUUUGAUGUAGGAGUUAAUAUGUUGCAUGGAAGCAUUCCCGAUGAUAUCGGAAGCAGGUUCCCCAAGUUGGAAAGUCUUUACUUGGGUACCAAUGACUUCACAGGAAUCAUCCCUUCCUCAAUAUCCAACAUAUCUUCUCUCAGAUCACUUGACCUCGUGCAUAACACAUUUAGUGGGUAUAUGCCUCCCACUUGGGGGAGGCUCGGAGCUCUCCAAUAUCUAAACUUGGCACACAAUAAAAUUGAAGCGAAUGACAACAAGGGGUGGGAAUUCAUCACAUCAUUGGCAAACUGCAGCCAACUGCAGGUAUUGGCACUCAGCAACAAUUCUUUUGGAGGACAACUACCGGGUUCAAUUGUGAACCUCUCAACGGCUCUCCAGCAGUUAUACUUAACGGACCAUAGGGUCUGUGGGAGUAUUCCUGCAGAUGUCGGCAACUUGGUUGGUUUGCAAUUACUUAUGAUAGCAAAUACUUCCAUAUCUGGAGUGAUUCCAGAGAGCAUCGGUAAGCUAGAAAACUUGAUCGAGUUAUUCCUGUAUAAUAAUAGCUUGUAUGGCCUCAUACCGUCAUCGCUAGGGAACCUUUCGCAGUUGGGUAUCCUUGCUGCACACAAUGGCAACUUGGAGGGGCCAAUUCCAACAAGCCUGGGGGAGUUGAAAAAACUUUUUAUACUCGAUCUGGCAAUGAACUAUAGACUUAAUGGUACAAUACCUAGAGAGAUUUUGGAAUUGCCUAGCCUUUCUUGGGGACUGGACUUGUCGUACAAUUCCCUUUCUGGACGCAUUCCUGAUGAAGUCCGUAGCUUGACAAACCUAAACCAACUGAUUCUAUCAGGAAACCAGUUAUCUGGCAAGAUACCCGACAGUAUUCAAAAUUGCAUAGUGUUGGAACGGCUAUUCUUAGACAACAAUUCCUUUGAGGGAAGCAUACCUCAGUCACUGACAAAUAUAAAGGGCCUUAGUGUAUUGAACCUGGCCAUGAAUAAGUUCUCUGGUAAUAUUCCUAAGGCCAUUCAUAGCAUUGGAAGCCUCCAGGAGUUGUAUCUUGCACACAACAACUUGUCAGGGCCAAUCCCAUUAGUUCUACAGAAUUUGACAUCAUUGACCCAAUUGGAUAUAUCCUUCAACAAUUUGCAAGGUGAGGUGCCAAACGAAGGUGUUUUCAGAAACAUCACUUACUUAGCAGUUGUGGGGAAUAUCAAUUUGUGUGGUGGUACACCUCAACUUCAUUUGGCUCCAUGCUCCAUAAGCAAGAACAGAAAAAGGAUGCCAAAGUUUCUAGCAAUUUCUCUGGCGACAACAGGAGCAAUCUUAUUCUCGCUUUCAGUUAUUCUUCUUCUUUGGAUACUUUGUAAGAAACUCAAACCAAGCCAGAAGACAUUAGCACAAUAUUCAAUUGUUGAUGACCAUUACAAGAGAAUCCCCUAUCAUGCAUUAUUGAGAGGAACUAAUGGAUUUUCAAAAGUCAACUUGCUUGGGAGAGGAAGUUAUGGUGCAGUUUAUAAGUGUGCUUUGGACACUGAUGAAAGAACAUUGGCUGUCAAGGUGUUUAAUAUUGGUCAAUCUAGGUAUUCCAAGAGUUUUGAGGCUGAAUGUGAGGCCAUGAGAAGGAUACGACACCGUUGUCUCAUUAAGAUCAUUGCUUCUUGUUCGAGCAUCAACCACCAAAGUCAAGAGUUCAAGGCAUUGGUUUUUGAGUUCAUGCCUAAUGGCAACUUGGAUGGCUGGCUUCAUCCGAAAUCUCAAGAGCCCACUAUAAACAACACGAUCAGCCUUGCCCAGAGGCUUGAUAUUGCUGUUGAUAUUAUGGACGCAGUAGAGUAUCUGCACAACUACUGUCAACCAUUGGUAAUCCAUUGCGACCUUAAGCCAAGCAACAUUCUUCUUGCUGAAGACAUGAGCGCACGAGUUGGAGACUUUGGCAUAUCAAGGAUCCUUCAUGAAAAUACAAGAGAGGGGAUGCAAACUUCAUAUGGGUCAACUGGAAUUAGAGGUUCCAUAGGAUAUCUUGCUCCAGAGUAUGGAGAAGGCUCUGUAGUCUCAACAGCUGGUGAUAUUUAUAGUCUUGGCAUAUUGCUGCUUGAGAUGUUUACCGGAAGGAGCCCAACAGAAGGCACGUUCAGAGAUUCAUUGGAUUUGCAUAAGUUUGUCAAGGAUGCUUUUCCAGAAAGAACCUUUGAGAUAGCUGACCCAACAAUGUGGUUGCACGGCGGACAACAUGAUAACGCUGCAAGUAUUAGAAUCCAGGAGUGCUUGGUCUCCGUCUUGAGGCUUGGCAUAUCCUGCUCAAAGCAACAACCUCGAGACCGAGCACUGACGAGAGAUGCAGCGGCGGAGAUGCACACAAUCAGAGAUGCAUACCAAAAAUUUAGAACAACAUUGAAUAAAUAG
rnacentral:rRNA from 1 species